UUGACCUCAAAUCAGGUAGGACUACCCGCUGAACUUAAGCAUAUCAAUAAGCGGAGGAAAAGAAACUAACAAGGAUUCCCCUAGUAACUGCGAGUGAAGCGGGAAAAGCUCAAAUUUAAAAUCUGGUGGUCUUCGGCCAUCCGAGUUGUAAUCUAGAGAAGCGUUACCCGCGUCGGACCGUGUACAAGUCUCCUGGAAUGGAGCAUCAUAGAGGGUGAGAAUCCCGUCUUUGACACGGACUACCGAGGCUUUGUGGUACGCUCUCAAAGAGUCGAGUUGUUUGGGAAUGCAGCUCAAAAUGGGUGGUAAAUUCCAUCUAAAGCUAAAUAUUGGCGAGAGACCGAUAGCGAACAAGUACCGUGAGGGAAAGAUGAAAAGAACUUUGGAAAGAGAGUUAAACAGUACGUGAAAUUGCUGAAAGGGAAACGCUUGAAGUCAGUCGCGUUGGCCGGAAAUCAGCCUUGCUUUUGCUGGGUGUAUUUUCUGGUUGACGGGCCAGCAUCAGUUUUGACCGGUGGAAAAAGUCUAGAGGAAUGUGGCAUCUUCGGAUGUGUUAUAGCCUUUGGUCGUAUACAUCGGUUGGGACUGAGGAACUCAGCACGCCGCAAGGCCGGGUCUUUGACCACGUACGUGCUUAGGAUGCUGGCAUAAUGGCUUUAAUCGACCCGUC
rnacentral:rRNA from 1 species